rnacentral:rRNA from 1 species
GAUGAACGCUGGCGGCGUGCCUAAUACAUGCAAGUCGAGCGAACAGAUAAGGAGCUUGCUCCUUUGACGUUUGCGGCGGACGGGUGAGUAACACGUGGGUAACCUACCUAUAAGACUGGAAUAAUCCCGGGAAACCGGGGCUAAUGCCGGAUAACAUUUAGAAGCGCAUGGUUCUAAAGUGAAAGAUGGUUUUGCUAUCACUUAUAGAUGGACCCGCGCCGUAUUAGCUAGUUGGUAAGGUAACGGCUUACCAAGGCAACGAUACGUAGCCGACCUGAGAGAGUGAUCGGCCACACUGGAACUGGGACGCGGUCCAGGCUCCUACGAGAGGCAGCAGUAGGGAAUCUGCCGCAAUGGGCGAAAGCCUGACGGAGCAACGCGGCGUGAGUGAUGAAGGUCUUCGGAUCGUAAAACUCUGUUAUUAGUGAAGAACAAAUUUGUAAGUAACUGUGCACGUCUUGACGGUACCUAAUCAGAAAGCCACGGCUAACUACGUG